rnacentral:rRNA from 1 species
AACGAACGCUGGCGGCAUGCCUAACACAUGCAAGUCGAACGGGAUCCUGGCUUCGGUCAGGUGAGAGUGGCGGACGGGUGAGUAACGCGUGGGAACCUGCCCAUUGGUCUGGGAUAACUGCGGGAAACUGCAGCUAAUACCGGAUGUACCCGAGAGGGGAAAGAUUUAUCGCCGAUGGAGGGGCCCGCGUCAGAUUAGGUAGUUGGUGAGGUAACGGCUCACCAAGCCUACGAUCUGUAGCUGGUCUGAGAGGAUGAUCAGCCACACUGGGACUGAGAUACGGCCCAGACUCCUACGGGAGGCAGCAGUGGGGAAUAUUGGACAAUGGGGCAACCCUGAUCCAGCAAUGCCGCGUGAGUGAUGAAGGCCUUAAGGGGUUGUUAAAAGGACUCCUUUUUUGGUCCCAGGGGAAGGAAUGGUGACUGUACCUGGAGAAUAAGCCCCGGCUAACUUCGUGCC